rnacentral:rRNA from 1 species
AUUGAACGCUGGCGGCAGGCUUAACACAUGCAAGUCGAGCGGGGUGAUGGUGCUUGCACUAUCACUUAGCGGCGGACGGGUGAGUAAUGCUUAGGAAUCUGCCUAUUAGUGGGGGACAACAUCUCGAAAGGGAUGCUAAUACCGCAUACGUCCUACGGGAGAAAGCAGGGGAUCACUUGUGACCUUGCGCUAAUAGAUGAGCCUAAGUCGGAUUAGCUAGUUGGUGGGGUAAAGGCCUACCAAGGCGACGAUCUGUAGCGGGUCUGAGAGGAUGAUCCGCCACACUGGGCCUGAGACACGGCCCAGACUCCUACGGGAGGCAGCAGUGGGGAAUAUUGGACAAUGGGGGGAACCCUGGUCCAGCCACGCCGCGUGUGUGAAGAAGGCCUUAUGGUUGCAAAGCACUUUAAGCGAGGAGGAGGCUCUCUUGGUUAAUACCCAAGAUGAGUGGACGUUACUCGCAGAAUAAGCACCGGCUAACUCUGUGCCAGCCGCCGCUGUAA